rnacentral:lncRNA from 2 species
AUGCAGUAUCUGCUGCACCCCACCCCGAGCCCCAGCAAGUGCUGGGCUCCCAGAAGUGGUCCUAGAGCAGGAGAGCACCCCCACUUACACAGGACACCCUGGCACGGCCAGUACCCCACAUUCAGGGACACCGCAACACUGACAGUACCCCACCUUCACGGACACCCCAACCCUUCCAGUACUCCACCUUCAAGGACACCCCAACACUGCCAGUACUCCACCUUCAGGGACACCCCAACACUGCCAGUACCCCACCUUCACGGACACCCCAACACUGCCAGUACACCACCUUCAAGGACACCCCAACACUGCCAGUACCCCACCUUCACGGACACCCCAACACUGCCAGUACCCCACCUUCACGGACACCCCAACACUGCCAGUACCCCACCUUCAGGGACACCCCAACACUGCCAGCACCCCACCUUCACAGACACCCCAGCACUGCCAGCACCCCUGCCUCUACAGGAUGCCCCAACACUGCCAGUACCCCACCUCCACAGGACACCCCAACACUGCCAGUACUCCACCUUCAAGGACACCCCAACACUGCCAGUACCUCCACCUUCAAGGACACCCCAACCCUUCCAGUACCCCACCUUCACGGACACCCCAACACUGCCAGUACCUCCACCUUCAAGGACACCCCAACCCUUCCAGUACCCCACCUUCAUGGACACCCCAACACUGCCAGUACCCCGCCUUCACGGACACCCCAACCCUUCCAGUACCCCGCCUCCACAGGACACCCCAACACUGCCAGUACCCCACCUUCAGGACACCCCAACACUGCCAGUACCUCCACCUUCAAGGACACCCCAACACUGCCAGUACCUCCACCUUCAAGGACACCCCAACACUGCCAGUACCUCCACCUUCACGGACACCCCAACACUGCCAGUACCCCACCUUCAGGACACCCCAACACUGCCAGCACCCCCGCCUCUACAGGACACCCCAACACUGCCAGUACUCCACCUUCAAGGACAUCCCAACACUGCCAGUACUCCACCUUCAAGGACACCCCAACACUCCCAGUACCCCACCUUACGGACACCCCAACACUCCCAGUACCCUGCCUCCACAGGACACCCCAACACUGCCAGUACCCCACCUUCAAGGACACCCCGGCACGGCCAGCCCUCGGACUGCAGACUCCCCUGGAGUCACCCGGACUCUCACGGGGCUCACUUACCUCCACCUCCCUCGGGAGGACCGGCCUCCAGGGUGCGUAUCAUCGCUCCGCCGCCCUGA